rnacentral:rRNA from 1 species
UGGGUCCCAUUCCACGGGGUCCGUGCCGCAGCUAACGCAUUAAGCGCCCCGCCUGGGGAGUACGGCCGCAAGGCUAAAACUCAAAGGAAUUGACGGGGGCCCGCACAAGCGGCGGAGCAUGCGGAUUAAUUCGAUGCAACGCGAAGAACCUUACCAAGGCUUGACAUGUACCGGAAACUCCCAGAGAUGGGGGCCCCGCAAGGUCGGUACACAGGUGGUGCAUGGUUGUCGUCAGCUCGUGUCGUGAGAUGUUGGGUUAAGUCCCGCAACGAGCGCAACCCUCGUUCUAUGUUGCCAGCACGUGAUGGUGGGGACUCAUAGGAGACUGCCGGGGUCAACUCGGAGGAAGGUGGGGAUGACGUCAAAUCAUCAUGCCCCUUACGUCUUGGGCUUCACGCAUGCUACAAUGGCCGGUACAGAGGGCUGCGAUACCGCGAGGUGGAGCGAAUCCCUUAAAGCCGGUCUCAGUUCGGAUUGGGGUCUGCAACUCGACCCCAUGAAGUCGGAGUCGCUAGUAAUCGCAGAUCAGCAACGCUGCGGUGAAUACGUUCCCGGGCCUUGUACACACCGCCCGUCAAGUCACGAAAGUCGGUAACACCCGAAGCCGGUGGCCCAACCCCUUGUGGGAGGGAGCUGUCGAAGGUGGGGCUG